rnacentral:lncRNA from 1 species
ACAUCUUGAGCACAACUAAAGCAUAGGUAAGAGCAUGAGAGAUUACUGAACUUUGCAACAAGCAAGGAACACAUACAUGAGCAUAUUUUCAACAUAAUUUCAGCACCUUCAUAUCUGUUUAUUUGGCCUAAUUUUGUGGCUCUUUACCCUAGAUAACCAUGAUCUUCUCCUUUAUAACACCCUAGGGCAGUGACUACAUUGGUCACACUUCAUUACCU